CCUACGGGAGGCAGCAGUGGGGAAUAUUGGACAAUGGGCGCAAGCCUGAUCCAGCCAUGCCGCGUGAGUGAUGAAGGCCCUAGGGUUGUAAAGCUCUUUCACCGGUGAAGAUAAUGACGGUAACCGGAGAAGAAGCCCCGGCUAACUUCGUGCCASCAGCCGCGGUAAU
rnacentral:rRNA from 1 species